rnacentral:rRNA from 1 species
UACGUAGGGGGCGAGCGUUGUCCGAAGUUACUGGGCGUAAAGGGCGCGUAGGUGGCGACCCAAGUCGAUGGUGAAAGCUCGCCGCUCAACGGCGAGUCGGCCACCGAUACUGGGUUGCUCGAGCACUGUAGAGGCUAAUGGAAUUCCGGGUGUAGCGGUGGAAUGCGUAGAGAUCCGGAAGAACACCGGUGGCGAAGGCGGUUAGCUGGGCAGUUGCUGACACUGAGGCGCGACAGCGUGGGGAGCAAACAGG